CAGAUUGGGUGAGGCAGAAAGUGACUUCUCACUGUUGAGUUAUAUCAGCUCUAUGACUGUCAGGUACUGGGGAUUGUGAUCUAAAAAAUGAAAGAAGUGAUUCAAUUCUUUUGCAGGUUAUGUGUGGCUAUGAUGCUUCAGGUAGCUUGAGCAAUAGACUUCCCUAUAUAUUCCCUUUGACUUUCACUCCUUGCAGAUCUUCAGGGGAACAUUAAUGCAGAAAUAAAAAUCAUCAGCUUCUGUACCUGGAGGAAGAGAAGACAGGUGUGUAAACCAGAUGGACAGAUGGAAGAAAAUAUCACUGAAUUGUGCAGGCAUGGAAAUAAACCUAGGACAAAUGGCAUUUUGAAUGGAAGGUGACCCAGUCAGUCAGUUGUAGUCAAUUCUUACUAAAACUGAAACAGACUUUUAGAAAAAAGUUGGAACAUAGUUGGAAUGAUGCUGAAUGUUUGUUAGUUCAUUUUGUGUGUGCGUGUGUGCUGGAAAUAGGAGGGCACACCCAAGACAGGUCUCAAACUAGAAGCUUAUUAUACAAUAAACUUAUUGUGGCUUCCUUGGAGGGAGAAGAUGUUAUUUAUUUAUUCCAGUGACCUACCUUGCAUUAACUGGGACAUCACUUACUGUCAUUAAGACAUUUGGGGAACAUCCUUCAUUUCAGAAGAGCUCUGUCUGGGAUUACCAGGCAUAUUUCUGCUCUCCUUUAAAAUCUAAAUUUAAAUUCUAACUUCUUUGAAGCCAGUUUUUCCACCUUGCCCCACCUUGGUUUCAGCAGCCCUAAUCCAUAUGCUGUUUCCCAGCUUCUUAUUCUGACCUAUGAUCUGGAUAUUUUGCGUUCAUCCUUCACCAAUAUCAGAUAAACUGCCAUGCAAGAAUUUAUACCAAGGACCCUUCUAUUAUUACUACUGUAUGCAAGAUUUUAUAAUAAGGGCUUUUACUGUUACUACUGCUGUAUGAUUAAAGUGAUAGCCUGAAAAUAACAACUCUAGUGAGAUUCCCAUCUCGGCUAGACAGCAGCAUGGAACACAACAUUUUGGAACUCAAAUUGCUUCUGUGAGGCCACAAAACAAUUGGCUGUUUUCCACUAUAAUUCUAAAAUCUAUUUUUAUAUACCUAAUCCUGGAAAAAUCAUAUAAGCUAUAAAAAUAACCUCAAAUCAUUUCAUGUCAAGCACAAAAACUAUUUUUCUGGGGAUCAUAAUUAAAAUAAAUAAAUAAACAAAAAUAAGCAAAUAUUAGUGACUUGGUAUUGACACAAAAAAGAAUAAAAGAAAAUGUGUUAGUUUUGGUCUUUUUGUAAAGUGACCAGCUGCCCAAUGUGUCAUAAUUAAACAGACACACACGGUGAUGAGCAUGAUAAGAAUCCUCAGUUUUCAAUUCAUACCCAUGAAUGUACUGCUGAAGAAGUGCAGAAUAAUAUCCACCUGUGUCUGGACUGCAAAGAACUAGAAAUAAAAAGGAAAUUUUCCUAUAGCUUGAAAUUCAGAGCAAAUGGGACAGAAAACACAAACAAGUGGUUCAGCACAUAUACAGGUUUCAUCUUCAGACAAUCUGAUUCAUUUUGCACUUAAAAAGCAAUUUAUAUUCAUACAUCUGGUUUUAUUUAUUUAUUUAUUAGAACUGCAUUUCUUGAUGCAAGUUUAUUCGCUGAAAGAAGGACUUUUUCCUCUAUCUACCAGAGCAUUUACAAUGAGAGGAUUUGUAAAUUUGCAUGGGAAAAAUGUUGAUCAGGCUAUAUAGCUUUUCAUGUGAGCUAUUAAACAAAAAAUGUUUUCCUUCCGCUUUAGGAACAUGCAAUGGGUAUUCAUCAGUACUAACUACUAUAGAUGUUUUUUACUCACUUCAUCCCAUUUAAUAACCCUUAAUUUUUUCAGUAUGACCUGCACGUUCAAAAACAGUAGUCCAAUAGGCCAGCAUAGUCACCUUAUAGUCAUUUACCCAUAAAGUGAGUGGAUUAUAUUUUUGUGAAAGUUUUGAGGGCUGCAACACCCUGUAUGAUAAAACUCUCAGAUACUCAUAUUUGUUCUUCUUCCUGAAGCUUUUCAUCCCCUCAUUGGUGUCCAGUGUUAUAUGAAACUUUAUGCGAGUCUGCUGUAAUUACAGGAGAUGGGUCUCAGGAAGGCAGAAACA